GCGCAGCAGUCGAGAAACCUCCGCAAUGCGGGAAACCGCGACGGGGGGACCCCGAGUGCCGUGGCAACGCCACGGCUUUUCCGGAGUGUAAAAAGCUCCGGGAAUAAGGGCUGGGCAAGGCCGGUGGCAGCCGCCGCGGUAAUACCGGCGGCCCGAGUGGUGGCCGCUAUUAUUGGGCCUAAAGCGUCCGUAGCCGGGCCCGUAAGUCCCUGGCGAAAUCCCACGGCUCAACCGUGGGGCUUGCUGGGGAUACUGCGGGUCUUGGGACCGGGAGGGGCGGGGGUACCCCUGGGGUAGGGGUGAAAUCCUAUAAUCCCAGGGGGACCGCCAGUGGCGAAGGCGCCCCGCUGGAACGGGUCCGACGGUGAGGGACGAAGGCCAGGGGAGC
rnacentral:rRNA from 1 species